UACGGGGGGUGCAAACGUUGCUCGGAAUUAUUGGGCGUAAAGCGCACGUAGGCGGCUCGUUAAGUUGGAUGUGAAAUCCCUCGGCUCAACCGAGGAAGUGCAUCCAAAACUGGCGAGCUUGAGUACGGAAGAGGGUCUCGGAAUUCCCGGUGUAGAGGUGAAAUUCGUAGAUAUCGGGAGGAACACCAGUGGCGAAGGCGGAGACCUGGGCCGAUACUGACGCUGAGGUGCGAAAGCGUGGGGAGCAAACAGG
rnacentral:rRNA from 1 species